rnacentral:rRNA from 1 species
GAUGAAGGAGGAGCUUGCUCCUCCGGAUUAGUGGCGAACGGGUGAGUAACACGUGAGCAAUCUGCCCUUGACUCUGGGAUAAGCGCUGGAAACGGCGUCUAAUACCGGAUACGACCCGCGGAGGCAUCUCCUGCGGGUGGAAAGAACUUCGGUCAAGGAUGAGCUCGCGGCCUAUCAGCUUGUUGGUGAGGUAAUGGCUCACCAAGGCGACGACGGGUAGCCGGCCUGAGAGGGUGACCGGCCACACUGGGACUGAGACACGGCCCAGACUCCUACGGGAGGCAGCAGUGGGGAAUAUUGCACAAUGGGCGCAAGCCUGAUGCAGCAACGCCGCGUGAGGGACGACGGCCUUCGGGUUGUAAACCUCUUUUAGCAGGGAAGAAGCGAGAGUGACGGUACCUGCAGAAAAAGCACCGGCUAACUACGUGCCAGCAGCCGCGGUAAUACGUAGGGUGCAAGCGUUGUCCGGAAUUAUUGGGCGUAAAGAGCUCGUAGGCGGUCUGUCGCGUCUGCUGUGAAAACCCGAGGCUCAACCUCGGGCUUGCAGUGGGUACGGGCAGACUAGAGUGCGGUAGGGGAGAUUGGAAUUCCUGGUGUAGCGGUGGAAUGCGCAGAUAUCAGGAGGAACACCGAUGGCGAAGGCAGAUCUCUGGGCCGUAACUGACGCUGAGGAGCGAAAGCGU